rnacentral:rRNA from 1 species
AGAGUUUGAUCCUGGCUCAGAACGAACGCCGGCGGCAGGCCUAACACAUGCAAGUCGAGCGCGCCCUUUCGGGGUGAGCGGCGGACGGGUGAGUAACGCGUGGGAACGUGCCCUUCUCUACGGAAUAGUCUCGGGAAACUGGGGGUAAUGCCGUAUACGCCCUUCGGGGGAAAGAUUUAUCGGGGAAGGAUCGGCCCGCGUUGGAUUAGGUAGUUGGUGGGGUAAUGGCCUACCAAGCCGACGAUCCAUAGCUGGUUUGAGAGGAUGAUCAGCCACACUGGGACUGAGACACGGCCCAGACUCCUACGGGAGGCAGCAGUGGGGAAUCUUAGACAAUGGGGGAAACCCUGAUCUAGCCAUGCCGCGUGAGUGACGAAGGCCCUAGGGUCGUAAAGCUCUUUCGCCAGGGAAGAUAAUGACGGUACCUGGUAAAGAAGUCCCGGCUAACUCCGUGCCAGCAGCCGCGGUAAUACGGAGGGGACUAGCGUUGUUCGGAAUUACUGGGCGUAAAGCGCGCGUAGGCGGAUCAGCAAGUUAGGGGUGAAAUCCCGGGGCUCAACCCCGGAACUGCCCUUAAAACUGCUGGUCUCGAGUUCGAGAGAGGUGAGUGGAAUUCCGAGUGUAGAGGUGAAAUUCGUAGAUAUUCGGAGGAACACCAGUGGCGAAGGCGGCUCACUGGCUCGAUACUGACGCUGAGGUG